rnacentral:rRNA from 1 species
GAUGAACGCUGGCGGCGUGCCUAAUACAUGCCAGUCGAGCGAACAGACGAGGAGCUUGCUCCUCUGACGUUAGCGGCGGACGGGUGAGUAACACGUGGAUAACCUACCUAUAAGACUGGGAUAACUUCGGGAAACCGGAGCUAAUACCGGAUAAUAUAUUGAACCGCAUGGUUCAAUAGUGAAAGACGGUUUUGCUGUCACUUAUAGAUGGAUCCGCGCCGCAUUAGCUAGUUGGUAAGGUAACGGCUUACCAAGGCAACGAUGCGUAGCCGACCUGAGAGGGGGUAGCGGCCAAGAGGAAAUGAGAAGCGGUCCAGGGCCCUAGGGGAGGCAGAGACAGGGAAUUUUCCGAAAAGGGGGAAAGGCUGAAGGAGGAACGCAGGGUGGGUGAAGAAGGGUUUCGGGUCGUAAAACUUUUUUUUUGGGGAAAAACAAAUUUGAAAGUAACUAUGCCCGUUUUAAGGGAACUAAAGAAGAAAGCCCGGGCAAAUACGGU